rnacentral:rRNA from 1 species
UGAAUACGAGAUGCUACGGCGUCGAAGCAGUGUAUGUCAGACUUCCAAGAAAAGCUCGCAAUGUCAUAAAUAAAGAAUGCCUGUACCAUAACCGACACAGGUGGGUAGGUAGAGUAUACUAAGGGGCGCGAGAUAACUCUCUCUAAGGAACUCGGCAAAAUAACUCCGUAACUUCGGGAGAAGGAGUGCCUUCUUUAAGAAGGUUGCAAUAACAAGAUCCAAGCAACUGUUUAUCAAAAACACAGGUCUCCGCUAAGUCGUAAGACGAUGUAUGGGGGCUGACGCCUGCCCAGUGCCAGAAGGUUAAAGAAGUUGGUUAGCUUUUGCGAAGCUGAUGACUGAAGCCCUGGUGAACGGCGGCCGUAACCAUAACGGUCCUAAGGUAGCGAAAUUCCUUGUCGGGUAAGUUCCGACCCGCACGAAAGGCGUAAUGAUUUGGAUACUGUCUCGGAGAGGGACUCGGUGAAAUAGACUUGUCUGUGAAGAUGCGGACUACCUGCACCAGGACAGAAAGACCCUAUGAAGCUUUACUGUAACUUGAAAUUGAAAUUGGACUUUAUUUGCGCAGUAUAGGUGGAAGGCGUUGAAAGUAAUCUUGCGGGAUUAGUGGAGCCAUCAGUGAGAUACCACUCCUAUAAUGUUAGAUUUCUAACUUUGGAUCAUGAUCUGGUCAAAGAACAGUUUCAGGCGGGCAGUUUGACUGGGGCGGUCGCCUCCCAAAUGGUAACGGAGGCGUACAAAGGUUUCCUCUGAACGGGUAGAAAUCGUAUCUAGAGUGUAAAGGCAUAAGGAAGCUUGACUGUGAGACCUACAAGUCGAGCAGGGACGAAAGUCGGUCUUAGUGAUCUGACGGUGCUGAGUGGAAAGGCCGUCACUCAACGGAUAAAAGUUACUCUAAGGAUAACAGGCUGAUCUCCCCCAAGAGUUCACAUCGACGGGGAGGUUUGGCACCUCGAUGUCGGCUCAUCGCAUCCUGGGGCGGUAGUACGUCCCAAGGGUUGGGCUGUUCGCCCAUGAAAGCGGUACGCGAGCUGGGUUCAGAACGUCGUGAGACAGUUCGGUCCAUAUCCGGUGUAGGCGUUAGAAUAUUGAGAGGAGCCUUCUUUAGUACGAGAGGACCGAGAAGGACAUACCUCUGGUGUACCAGUUAUCGUGCCAACGGUAAACGCUGGGUAGCUAUGUAUGGAGAGGAUAACCGCUGAAAGCAUCUAAGUGGGAAGCCCACCUCAAGAUGAGUAUUCUCAU